rnacentral:rRNA from 1 species
UACGGGGGGGGCAAGCGUUGUUCGGAAUUACUGGGCGUAAAGGGCUCGUAGGCGGCCAACUAAGUCAGACGUGAAAUCCCUCGGCUUAACCGGGGAACUGCGUCUGAUACUGGAUGGCUUGAGUUUGGGAGAGGGAUGCGGAAUUCCAGGUGUAGCGGUGAAAUGCGUAGAUAUCUGGAGGAACACCGGUGGCGAAGGCGGCUCUCUGGGACGGUACUGACGCUGAGGCACGAAAGCGUGGGGAUCAAACAGG